rnacentral:rRNA from 1 species
UACGGAGGAUCCAAGCGUUAUCCGGAAUCAUUGGGUUUAAAGGGCGCGUAGGCGGCCACGCACGUCCGUUGUGAAAUCGCCCGGCUCAACUGGGCGGGGUCGGCGGAUACGGCGUGGCUGGAGCAAGCUAGGGGGCAAUGGAAUUCCCGGUGUAGUGGUGGAAUGCGUAGAUAUCGGGAGGAACACCAGUGGCGAAGGCGGUUGCCUGGAGCUUUGCUGACGCUGAGGCGCGAAAGCGUGGGGAGCGAUCCGG